CUCAGAUCAUGUAAGAUUUUAAUGAUCGAACAGAUCAAAAUUUUAAACUUUUGCACUUAAAUUUUAUCUUAAUCCAACAUCGAGGUCGCAAACUUUUUUUUUUAUUUGUACUAAAAAAAAAUAUUACGCUGUUAUCCCUAAGGUAAUUUUUUCUUAUAAUCAUUAUUAAUGGAUCAUUUAACCAUUUAUUUAUGUUUAAUUUUUAAAAAAAGUUAAUUUAAUUUUUCUAUCCCCCCAAUAUAAUAAUUAAUUUCAUUUUAAUAAAAAUUUUUAUAUAACUUUAAAAUAAAAAUAAAUAUAAAACUCUAUAGGGUCUUCUCGUCUUUUAAAAUUAUUUUAGCUUUUUAACUAAAAAAUAAAUUUCUAAAAAUAAAUAAGAGACAGUUUAUAUUUCAUCAAAUCUUUCAUACAAGUUUUCAAUUAAAAAACUAUUGAUUAUGCUACCUUUGUACAGUCAUUAUACUGCAGCCCUUUAAUAUUUAUCAGUGGGCAGAUUAGACUUUAAAUUAUACUCAAAAAGACAUGUUUUUG
rnacentral:rRNA from 1 species